rnacentral:rRNA from 1 species
GAAAGAUGGUUUCGGCUAUCGCUUACAGAUGGGCCCGCGGUGCAUUAGCUAGUUGGUAGGGUAAUGGCCUACCAAGGCAACGAUGCAUAGCCGACCUGAGAGGGUGAUCGGCCACACUGGGACUGAGACACGGCCCAGACUCCUACGGGAGGCAGCAGUAGGGAAUCUUCCGCAAUGGACGAAAGUCUGACGGAGCAACGCCGCGUGUAUGAAGAAGGUUUUCGGAUCGUAAAGUACUGUUGUUAGAGAAGAACAAGGAUAAGAGUAACUGCUUGUCCCUUGACGGUAUCUAACCAGAAAGCCACGGCUAACUACGUGCCAGCAGCCGCGGUAAUACGUAGGUGGCAAGCGUUGUCCGGAUUUAUUGGGCGUAAAGCGCGCGCAGGCGGUCU